GUGGAACAUAGUUACAGCAGAGGAAAAGUCAGUGGGAGACGAAAUGUUUGAAGUAAUACCGUUAAAUGCCAGGUGGAUACCGCUAUGGAAGACUUCUUUUUAGCGAGACUACUGCGUUCCCAGAUUACAGCUAUUAACAUGUUCAAUUUAAAAAGCCAAACAUUGUCAUCAUCAUUCACCAGCAGCUGUGCAAAGGCAGGACAGAUGCCUCCUACACCCUUUCCCAGUUAGCAGUUGGGAACCAUCCAUGUCAAUUAUAAUCUACCACAACAGUUGGCUGAGUGUUAUUCAUGAUAUUAAGGACAGGGUUCCCAUAAGACUGAAGAACAAGUGAGCUGAGAGUGAAAGAUUACAGAGGCUGACCAAGCACAUUUAACACUGAAGAAGCGGCUCCUCAGGUCUCAACCGCUUCCAGAUGUGGAAUGCCAGAGAUAAUCUAUCCUUUUGGAUCUCAAAUGAGAAAGGGGUGUCUUGCAGAAGCUGAAGGUCCAGAUCCGGCUCCCAGAUUGUAGACGUCCCACACGUGCGUGUAAUGCUUUGGGAGAACAGAUAGGGAACACUGGGAGCACUGAAAACUGGAUAUCAUUUCAAAAUGUGAGAACACUAUCAUCAACAACAUACAUUACAAACAUGUCUGUGUGAGUGAUGUGUUUGUCAGGAUUGGUU